AAUGAACGCUGGCGACGCGCCUAACACAUGCAAGUCGAACGCCAAAGUCUCUUCGGAGACAAGUAGCGUGGCGGACGGGUGAGUAACAUGUGAGAAUCUGCCCUAUAGUGGGGAAUAAUCCGAGAAAUUGGGAACAAUACCGCAUAAGUCUCUUCGGAGAGAAAGGUGGCAUUAGCUGCCGCUAUUGGAUGAGCUCGCACACCAUUAGCUAGUUGGUGGGGUAAAGGCCUACCAAGGCAAUGAUGGUUAGCCGACCUGAGAGGGUGAUCGGCCACACUGGAACUUAGAUACGGUCCAGACUCCUACGGGAGGCAGCAGUGGGGAAUUUUGGACAAUGGACGCAAGUCUGAUCCAGCCAUGCCGCGUGCGGGAAGAAGGCCUUCGGGUUGUAAACCGCUUUUGUCAGGGAAGAAAAGGUUCUGGUUAAUACCUGGGACUCAUGACGGUACCUGAAGAAUAAGCACCGGCUAACUACGUGCCAGCCGCCGCCGUAAAAC
rnacentral:rRNA from 1 species